AAAAGUUUUCAGCAAAGAACUAAGAUUUGAUCAUGCUGUUAAAGAAAAAAAAAGAAAAGAAAAAAACAAUCCUCUGAUCUCUCCCAGGCAACAAAUCUUGUAUUUCAGAUGUAUGUUUUCAUAUCUUCCAGGUCCCAAUUGGAGAGAAAAUGAGGAAAAGGAGGAACAGAUGGGACUAAAAGCAGAAGGCACCUGAUGAAAGAGAAAAAGCAAGGCUGGGGGAAGGGUGUUUAGAGAAGGACUGGGAGAACAAAAGCAAAGAAUCUGAAAUGCUCUACAACCAUUCCAAAGAAAAACAGAUUAUAUGAACCUCUGGACUCUGGAGUAAGCAUGCAUUUUGAGGUCCUGUGGUAAAGGCCUUGGUCAUGUCUGCAUAAAAGUCAGCAUGGGAUAUCCUCAAAGCUGCAAGGCUCCACCUAUGUAGACACUACUGGGAGCAGGAUGCCUGGGAGACGAAGCAGGGCAGCAUAAAUUUUUGUAGCAGAGGCAGCAUCUACAGGGGGUGUCUUUGUGUCUCGGAGGAUUGUUGCAAAAGAGUUCAUAAAUGUGCAGUUCCCUAUCUUCCCCAACCCUUCAAAGAUGGGAAAGAACUUCAUUUAGAUGUUCCAUCCUACCCCGUUUUUUUACUGAUCUGGGCAAUACCAGGUCCCCUUAACACACACACACACACACACACACACACACACACACACACACACACACACACACUUCCUGCAAUAUAUUGUGCUGAAAAUCAGCCUUGCUGUCACAGUUCCAUUAUCAGGAGAGUUUGGAGUAAUGCCCAGCCUAGUCUAUAAUGAAAAAUUGUGGCUCAGUGUCCUGAUUAAAACCAUAUCAUCCUUUCUUGUCUAUAGCUCCGUUCUUAAUUUCAGUCUAGCCCAAGACGCUAUCUAAGGUGGCUUGGAAUGCAGGCCCACAUGUUCCUUUCUGCUGUGAGUACAAGCAGAACAGGCAGAGCUGGGAUUCAAAUUGACCUCUCUCUGAUUCUGAACCCCAUGGUCUUUCCCAUGAAGAGAUCUAGUUUUUUUUGUUUUUGUUUUUGUUUUUUUUUUUCAUCUGUUAGGGGCUGUUAUGGGUUGACUUGUGUUUCCUCCAUCCUCCCUGAAAAAGAUAUUUUGUAGCCCUAACCUCUAGUACCCCAGAAUGUGACCAUAUUUGGAGAUACGGUCUUUAUAGAAAUAUUAAAGUUAAAAUAGGUUCAUUUGGUGUGAGCUCUAAUCCCAUAUGACUGGUGUCCUUAUGCACAGAGGAAAUAUGAAUACCAAGAAAGAGACACAGAGGAAUCAGAGAAAAGACAGACACCUAUGAGCCAAGGAGAAAGGCCUAGAACAGAUCCUUCCCUCACAAUCCUCAGAAGGAACCAAGCCUACCAACAACACCUUGAUCUCAGACAUUCAGCCUCCAAAACUGUGAUGCAAUCAGUGGUGCUUUGUUAUGCCAGUCCCAACAAACUAAUACAGGAGAAAUUCAGAGUUUUCAAACUGGAAGUGCAUGUCCGUGAACAUUAGAUUGUUGCAGCCAUCCAACUGUACAGUGCACAGCUCCAGAGGGCAGUAUUCCCAGGGUCACAUCAUGGUGCAUUCCUGCACUAGACGUCAUACACCACACAGCCUCACACAGUGGUCCCUGACCAAGCUGACACAGAUAGAGUCUCCUCCUGUGAGACAUCUGUUACAUAUGUUACAUGUGUUAAACCUGUUAUAAAUUCAGUUAAAUUGCCCUCAAAGUAAAGAUUAUAAAAGAAGGAUGUUAAGGGAGAUACUGUUGGAUUUGUUGCAGUGCAUUUAAAAAUAGAUAACUUCAAGGCCAUGGAAUAUGGGACUGUUUUUUAGCACAAAAUUAUAAAAGUGGAGAACUAAUAUAUGUUAACCUAUCGGGAAACUCAUCUGAGUAUGAGCUGGGCAGACGUUUUGAUUGUCUAUGGAGGGCUGGACUUCCCACUUUUCUCCCACUCAUCUGACAGGAUCAGUUUUUCAGGUGAUGAAUUAGGAACAAGGUGAGAAGGAGGUGGCUCUAGACACCCUGGAUAUAGCACUGUUUUCUGUUAAUGAGAUUCAGAUGGCCUGAUAAUUAAAGCUGUCUCCAAAACAGAAUGGCUUUCCUCAUCUAGCAUCCUUGGCACAGGGUAAUUCAACUGAAGACUGGGUUCAUUUAUCCAUUCAACUCCCUAAUAAAUACUUAUGGAGUAUUAGGCAAUGUCCUGGAUAUUGGAGGAAUACAAAGAAUAGUGCCAGUCAUAUCAAUCUUGCUCUCAAAGAGUUUAGGUUCUAAGGAGAAAUAAGGUAGAUGCGUAGAAAAUUCCAAUAUAGAAUAUAAAACUAUGUGUCACAGAAAAAGU
rnacentral:lncRNA from 1 species